AAGCAUUGAAUGGUAUGGCUGCAUAUGAUACAAAAAGUGAGUAGUUCAGGCAUGUAUUCGAAUCUGAAAUGUAAAGAAAGUGAGUAUUAAAUUACCAUGUGUAUAGACCCAUCUUGCAAUAUAUUUAUGAGGCUCUAAAUUUGUGAGGCUCUGAACUUGUGAGGCUCUGAAUAGCACGUGUCCACUUAUCCAUGGGUCCUAAUUUGUGAGGCUCUGAACUUCCAACACAAGUUACUUCUUCAUCCUCUCCUCCAACCCGAGAAACAUUCACUUCUUCUCUAAGCUCUAGUUCAUGAGCAACUGCCUCCUUCCUCUUCCUUUUUGAAUCUUCCAGUGACUUCUUGCUCUUGUCUUUAGCCUCCUAUGUACUCUUCUUGCAUUUCUUCGCAUUUGUUCCAUCAUUGGUCACAUGUUCCUUCAACCGAUGCACCCCACCUUGGCUCCGGUGACCACAGAACUUGCACUCCACCUUGUCCUUGUUGUUUGGAUCCACCAGAAACACAUACUCCCAUCCCACAUCAUCUUAAAUUCUUUUGAGGACAUUCACCUCCU
rnacentral:lncRNA from 1 species